UUGAUCUUUUAUCAAGAUGAUGAAAAUAUCAGAUUUGGUUUAGACAAAGUACCACUAGAAGUUUUACUCAAGGAUAUGAUCGAUGUUCAAGUAAUUUAAAACAUUCUCAAGCCUGCAGUGGAGAAGUGGAUAGCACAACCGUGGAGUCAUGGGCAAAGUCUUUUUGUGUGCUGCUGUUUCUGCUGGUAAAAGACAACACUCAGAAAAAAAGAGUCUGACAAUGCCAGGAGAAGGACUAAGAAAAUAAUUUGGUACAUGAAUUAAGUAUCUAAGCUUCAAUGGGGUAAUAAUCCUUAUUAUUUGUGGCUUAUGUUUGAAUUCUGUACUCAACUGCCCAGCUAGUUUAAUUCACUCAAGAGAUGAGGAAAGACUUGCGUUUUGUGAGUCCCGGCAAGAAGACUGCUGGGCCUCUUUGUCAUACCCCAGAGUGGAUAUUUUAAAAUCCAGUUUCAGCAUAGAGGCCCUAUUUAGUUGCUUGGUACAAUUAGUGGGACUGAGUAAGGAGUAACAGAAUGCUAUGUUUUGACCAAAACUUACCAUAGCUAAAAAAUACUGAGGGGAAAAACCCCCAUACCCUACUUUCUAUCACAUAGAACUAUUGACAAAUAAUAUACAGACAAAUAGUAACCUAAAGGAACAAAUUAAUAGUUACAAGCAAAAUUAAAACUCUCGUCUCCCAUCCAAUGAUCUUUCCAGUCUGUUAGUUCUUGUCCUUGAGCAGUCAGAUUUCAGUCUGAUGGGAAGACAGAAUCUAUGGGACAUAGCACCAGAUACACUGUUUGUUUUUUUGGCUGUGCUGUCUUCAUUGUGUGCAGGCUUUCUUUAGUUGUGGCAGGUGGAGGCUACUCUUUGUUGCGGUGCACAGGCUUCUCAUUGAGGUGGUUUCUCUUGUGGAGGAGCACAGGGUCCAGGCCCACAGACUCGGCAGUUGCAGCGCACAAGCUUUAGAGCACUUGGGCUUCAGUAGUUGCAGAGUGUGGUCUUGGUAGUUGUGGCUCAUGGGAUUAGUUGCCCUGAGGCAUAUGGAAUCUUCCAGGAUCAGGGAUUGAACCCGUGUCCCCUGCAUUGGCAGGUGUAUUCUUAUUCAUUGGACCAUCAUAAGAGUCCACAUCACACAUAAUGUUAAUUGCCAAAAGUGCUCUAGCCCUUACGGAUGUGGGGGAGAGUAGCUGUGGCCUUUAGGCUAGAAAGACUUCUUGAGGGAGGAGAGUGUGGAGCAGAAUUAACAAGGGAAAAGUAUGGGAAUUUAUUUGAUCUUGAGAGGCAGGAUACAGGUUAUUAAUAGGGCCUAAUUUACUUGAAAGUGUUAGUUGCACAGUCAUGUCUGACUCUGUGACCCCAUGGACUGUAACCAGGCUUCUCUGUCCAUGGAAUUCUCCAAGCAAGAACACUGGCAUAGGUUGCCAUUUCCUUCUCGAGGGGAUCUUCCUGACCCAGGGAUUCUUCCUGACCCACAUUCUGCCAAGGUUUGACUCCACAGGGAUGGAAAACAGGCACAAAUCUGUGGCCUGGGAGUUGGAAGUCUGGGCUUAGGCCUCAGCUCCCCUGCUAGCUGUAUGAUCUUGGACAAGUAACAGACUGAGCUUAU
ensembl:lncRNA